CACGCAUGGAGGCCGGAGCACAGAGCGCCACGAGGCGAGCAGUUGAGUGUUCCCUAGAGUCCCCGUCUCUCCGCCGCCGCCUGCAACCGCUUCACGUGCCCUAAUCCAUCUCAGCUCCCCUUUCCGACCCCAAAUGGAGCCCAAGAAGACCUCCGCCCAGCACCAACCGCACGCCAUGGAGCCCAAAAAGUCCUCUCCCCGCCGCACCGGCGCCGCCAACGACGCCGAGUCCCCGUUGAGCAGCUUGUUCUAUCCGCCGGCGCCUGGGGCAAAUGGGAAGGAUCAGGACUUGUACAGCAUUCUCUACAAAGGUCAGAGCGGCAGCGCACAUCCUGGCAUGACAGAUGGUAAAACCCAAUGGGCUCCAUCCAGAAGUCGUUCCACCUGCACCAAGGAUAGUAAACAUUCACCGCCCCAAGAUUCAGUUGAUACAUCUUGUUUUGGAUCAUCUGUGCAUUAUGGUGGUCGAGACUAUUUCUACGGCAGCUCUACAACCAAGCAAGGGACAGAAUCCUCCACUAAUUACAAGGCGGACAAGAAGGAUCCAACAGCAGAUUCUCAUGGCGACUGGUGGCAAGGCUCAUUCUACUACUAGGUGAAUCUGGUGGCCUCCCCCUUGGAGAUCAAGGUAAAUGGGUGGAUCCUUUUACUGUUUAGCUAUAAUGUUUGGUGCUCUAUUCAAUUUACAUUUUUGUACCAAUGAAUAUCCUUUUCAAAUCCCAUAGUAACAUCAGCAGCUGAUAGUUCGUAGAUAGCCAUGUUGACUUGUCUCAUGUGUAAUCUUAAUUCAUUACAUACAAGGGAACAUAUGCUCUCUUUUUUCCCCCCCAAAAGUCAGAACAUAUAGGUCUAGCGUGACCGCAAGUUUCUCGAAGGUUUUCUAUGCGAGGAAACCGAGUUUCUAUUGAUUUCUGAUAAUCUGAAGUGAUAAGUGUCCGGAUAACUUUGCCUAAAAGGGAUGGCCAAAAAAUACCACUCAUAUGAGGAAAUGCUAUUUUAUUAGUACAUCCUGAAUGAUUCAGAGUUCAACGUUUAGUCUAUGUCUACCUUUCCUGUUUGCAGUAUUAACCUAUGAAAAGAAAACUUAUUUAUUUGUUUGUGCGUCUUGUACUGUCAUCAAAGUUUGGUAGAUAAUUAAUUUUCUGCAGAACUAGAGCCAGAUUGAUGUGCAAUGAUGUACUUGUGGAGACAGGCCAAGGUCAUUGGGUGGGAAAACGGCUAACUGUCUUGGAGUGAAAACUUCAGUUAACAUCUAGCUUUACAUCGUUUUCAUACAGAUGAACUAAAAGGGGGAGGCAGUGAAGCUCGGUUUCCUUGACAGUUGGUGGUAUCAUCUGUUACUCUGCGUCAAUAGUGGACCCGCUUUCGUCCAAUGGUGGUGCCAGUAUUUAGAAGCAUCACCACAACUGGACAGAUUUAGUGUGUGUCUUUCAUAGUCGCAGCUUUAGAUGUGCAAUGUAAUGAAGUAGCAAAGUGUGAGUUAGGUUGCAUAAAAGGGUCCUGUCCAUAUCCAAUCUGCCAGUAAUAUCGGUGGUUUGGUAUCUGACUCCCUAGAGUCAAAUGUAUGUACAAUUGGAUCGUCGCCCCAAAGCAAAAGAUAAAAUGCUGGAGAAGCGGCGAUCACUUCAUUGUACACCUUUACCAGCUGGAAUUUGACAGAAGUUGGAAACUGUUCUUGUC